rnacentral:tRNA from 2 species
AGAAAUAUGUCUGAUAAAAGAGUUACUUUGAUAGAGUAAAUCAUAGAGGUCCACUCCUCUUAUUUCUA